rnacentral:lncRNA from 1 species
GCUAAAAGGGGUAAAAAACAAGGGAGAUGUCAUGCUAGGAGUCUACUACAGGCCACCCAAUCAGGCGGAAGAGGUGGAUGAGACUUUUUUCAAGCAACUAACAAAAUCAUCCAAAGCCCAAGAUUUGGUGGUGAUGGGGGACUUCAACUAUCCGGAUAUAUGUUGGGAAAAUAACACAGCGGGGCAGAGACUAUCCAACAAAUUCUUGGACUGCAUUGGAGACAACUUUUUAUUUCAGAAGGUUGAAAAAGCUACUAGGGGGGAAGCUGUUCUAGACUUGAUUUUAACAAAUAGGGAGGAACUUGUUGAGAAUGUGAAAGUAGAAGGCAGCCUGGGUGAAAGUGAUCAUGAAAUCAUAGAGUUCACAAUUCUAAGGAAGGGUAGAAGGGAGAACAGCAAAAUAGAGACAAUGGAUUUCAGGAAGGCAGAUUUUGGGAAGCUCAGAGAGCUGAUAGGUAAGGUCCCAUGGGAAUCUAGACUGAGGGGAAAAACAACUGAGGAGAGUUGGCAGUUUUUCAAAGGGACACUAUUAAGGGCCCAAAAGCAAGCUAUUCCGCUGGUUAGGAAAGAUAGAAAUUGUGGCAAAAGACCACCUUGGCUUAACCACGAGAUCUUGCACAAUCUAAAAAAUAAAAAGGAGUCAUAUAAAAAAUGGAAACUAGGAGAGAUUACAAAGGAUGAAUAUAGGCAAACAACACCGGAAUGCAGGGGCAAGAUUAGAAAGGCAAAGGCACAAAAUGAGCUCAAACUAGCUACUGGAAUAAAGGGAAACAAGAAGACUUUUUAAUCAAUACAUUAGAAGCAAGAGGAAGACCAAAGACAGGGUAGGCCCACUACUCAGUGAAGAGGGAGAAACAGUAACAGGAAACUUGGAAAUGGCAGAGAUGCUUAACGAUUUCUUUGUUUCGGUCUUCACCGAGAAGUCUGAAGGAAUGCCUAACAUAGUGAAUGCUAAUGGGAAGGGGGUAGGUUUAGCAGAUAAAAUAAAAAAGAACUAGUUAAAAAUCA